UUCAUGACAAUGAGCACCACAACAUGAAUGUGAAUUCUGCUGUGAAACAGAAUAAAAAAUUGCUUACUUUGUUAUGACCCAGGGCAGGAGAGGUACAAUAGAGAAUACGAGCAUCGAGAAGUGAAUUAUCAGAUGCUCCUCCAGGUUAAGGGAUGAUGACUUCCAAAGGCACAACAAUGUCUGAGCAAAGGCAACAUUCUCCCUGGAAAAAAAAGGGCCAGAUUUCUUAUAUAUGUAUUUAUACUGUUCGUUACUAUUCACAUGUGAACAGAAAAUAGAAAGUUGAAAUCAAUAGCCAAAGCAUCGACUGCACAGUGCACACUACAUUUGGUGACUUGGAAUAAUAAUUAUUAUCACCCCGAUGCAAGAAAAGGCUUAUUACAGCCAAUAGAAUAAAGACAUGCACCGUGCUUGUUCAAACUC